UACGAGUAGUAUAAUUGACGAUGCAAUUACUAGAGUUUUCGGUCUCGAUCAUAGCCAUGUACGAGGAUUAGAGUUUGGUUUGACUAGAUCAAAGUUGUCAACAUCAACUCAAAAAGAUAAGACUAUUGCAUCUCUUGAAAGAAAAUGCAACAACCUAACAUCAGAUGUAGAUGAACUAAAAAGAGUGAUAGCUUCCUUAAUAAAAGACAAGGAAAAAUUGAGCGAAAGAAAUUCUAAUAAUGCUGUUAGAGUAUCAACAUCGGCAGAUAUUCCAACUCCAAUCCUAAAUUCCCCACCGAGUGUUACUACCAACACUCCUUAUAAGUGUUUGUUGCUAGAUUGGGUCGGUUCAGGAGAAGUUGUUGUUGAAGAUAGAUGGUCUUUCAAUGAUCCAUCAAUCCUUGUCCAUCAUAUACCU